rnacentral:rRNA from 1 species
UACGGAGGGUGCAAGCGUUAAUCGGAAUUACUGGGCGUAAAGCGCGCGUAGGCGGUUCACUCAGUCUGCUGUGAAAGCCCCGGGCUUAACCUGGGAACGGCAGUGGAUACUGGUGGGCUAGAGUAUGGUAGAGGGGAGUGGAAUUUCCGGUGUAGCAGUGAAAUGCGUAGAGAUCGGAAGGAACACCAGUGGCGAAGGCGGCUCUCUGGACCAAUACUGACGCUGAGGUGCGAAAGCGUGGGGAG